rnacentral:lncRNA from 1 species
CCCAAUUGAGAUGUGGCCCCGUAAGCCACAACAUCAAAGUUAGUAAGUUUUUCAAGCACUAGACUCAACUUUGGCCAAGGAGCUGGAAAGGGGGCUACCAACAGGUAGUCAGAUCUAAUACCAACUUGUGACGCCCUCGAUUUGAUCGUAUGCUAACCAUACACGCAAAUGUGUACGACCAAGCUCAAGGACUCACGGGAAGAUAUCACAACACAACUAUAGACACAAAUAAAACA